UAUAUAAAGUCGUCUGACCACCAUAUUAAAACAUGUAGAAUCUUGCCGGUAUUGAUUCGAAGUGGACAGAAGUGGAGUCUUGACUUCAAAUGUCAGAUUAAAAAUUGUUUUUAUGCUGAUGUACUGGAGUUCGCGAUGGAACGUAUCUGGACUUCAAGAGACAAGAGUGGCCUUGCGCUACAAGAUGCUGUUAACAGUUUACCAGCUUUCGACGUUGUGAUUUGUUCUAGGAUGCAUCAGGUAAUUUAUGGUGCUGGAAGAUUCUGGGCUGUGAUGUUCACGUCACUUUGUCUUGUUAUGAGGUGGAUUCCGUACCUUAGGUGGUGAGUUGGUGGGUUUGCCGUUCGUCGUGUUGGAAAUGUGGCAUUCGAGUGGCGCUGUGCCGCUGUUCUAGCAUUGACGUUUCCUUAUGGGUCCGGUGUCACGUUCAUCGUAGGCUCGCAACGGCGUGUUGUGGUCUUAUCGAACUGUAUGUUUCCAGGCUUCAGGUGUUUAUCUGGUGGACGUGUUGAUUCAGUUUUUCGGCAUGUACGGGGUGCGGCAAUUACUUCAUACCGUGCAGUUUCCCUUGCUGUUGUCGUGGUUUGCUGUGGCAAAUUGCUGUCGGCAUAUCGUCAUGGCGCCAUUAUGGGAUCGAAUCGGUUGCAGAUCCAGCUAUGGAGCCGUUGGUUUGCGUCCUAGAUGGUUUUUCGAUUCCCUUGGUUCUGUUUGACUAGUUGCUAACAACUAAUCGUGUUACCGUUCCCUUCUAGUCAUUUGUUUCAUCGCCGCAGAUGCCGUGUUUUCUAGUAUUGCGACGUGGGGACGUCGGUGGAUAUGUAAUCGGGAUUUCACUGAUGCAGUUGCUGUGGAAAUUGGUUACGUACAACAUUCUUGAUAUGCUGCUUGGCGUGGGCGUUGUUCAAUUCGGGAAUUGUUUGGAUUAUUGCGGUCGAACUGAUUUAAGAUCAGCUUGAAUUUUUGUUUUGCGACAUUCAAUUCUUUACCGUUUGCAUCAAUAUGUUUUAAUUAUGUGUAAAAUUUAAAUACAUAUUUAGUAAUUUGA